rnacentral:lncRNA from 1 species
GCCCCAGAAGAGGGAGCUGAAAAGGGGCAGGGCCUCCUUAUUCCAGCCCCGCGAUGACUCAUGCCCCGUAUCCAUUCCCGCUCCCCUCAUUUUUAGCUCCGCAAACUCCCCCCACACUCCUGCCACAGAGUUUCUGAUGCUGGGCUCCUCUCUUGGAGCCACCUUCUAUCUUCGGGUGGCCUCCCCUGGAGACCGUCCUGGGGUUGGCUCCGGAGUGGGGUGAAUGAGGCUGGGGGGCUAACGUGCCUGGACACCCCUGGCUCUUUGGUUAAUUGGCCCCAGAAGUUAUCUUUGGUUUUAUUCUCUGUGGCAAUUUUUUUCUUUUUAAUAAUGCCAGGUUUGUUUCACUGUCGCUGACCCAACGGGACUCCCAGUGGGUCCC